rnacentral:rRNA from 1 species
GAACGAACGCUGGCGGCAGGCUUAACACAUGCAAGUCGAACGCCCCGCAAGGGGAGUGGCAGACGGGUGAGUAACGCGUGGAACGUACCUUUCAGUACGGAAUAACUCAGAGAAAUUUGUGCUAAUACCGUAUGAUGUCGCAAGACCAAAGAUUUAUCGCCUAAGGAUGAGCCCGCGUAAGAUUAGCUUGUUGGUGAGGUAAAAGCUCACCAAGGCGACGAUCAGUAGCUGGUCUGAGAGGACGAUCAGCCACACUGGGACUGAGACACGGCCCAGACUCCUACGGGAGGCAGCAGUGGGGAAUUUUGGACAAUGGGCGCAAGCCUGAUCCAGCCAUUCCGCGUGAGUGAAGAAGGCCUUCGGGUUGUAAAGCUCUUUCGCAAGGGAAGAAAACUUAUCCUCUAACAUAGGAUGAGGUUGACGGUACCUUGAUAAGAAGCACCGGCUAACUACGUG